rnacentral:lncRNA from 1 species
CCUUGAACUGGUGGCUGUCCUGCCUCAGCCUCCCCAAGUGCCAGGAUUAUAGGCAUGUGCCACUUAUGCCUAGCUCUCAGAAUAAAUAAAUUUUUUUUAAAAGGCUGGAGAUACAGAUCAGCACUUAGGUAGAGGUUAGAAAAUUUUACCUGUUUAAAGCUUUCUCUUGGACUUAAAACAUGAAAUAACUUUUUUGCUUUUCCUUUAAGAGUAUAGAAAAUGUAGCUUCAUCAGUGCUUGGAAAGUCUGUCUUUGUUAAUUGGCCUCACCUUGAAGAAGCUAGAGUUGUUGCUGUAUCAGAUGGUGAAACUAAAUUUUACUUGGAAGAACCUCCAGGAACACAGAAGCUUUAUUUGGGAAGAACUGCUCCACCAUCUAAAGUGAUACAUCUUGGCGAUAAAGAGCAAUCUAAUUGGACAAAAGAGGUACAAGGAAUAUCAGAACAGACAUCCAAGCUUUCGACUCUCGUUUCUCCAGUAUCAAAACAUUGGAUGAUUUGUUUCCUCCUGGAAGUGUGGUGUUUAUGCUGGGGACUCCUUAUUAUGGCUGCACAGGAGAAGUUCAAGUUUCAGGUGAUGUGAUCACAGAAGGCAGAAUUCGUGUGGUUUUCAGCAUUCCAUGUGAACCCAAUCUUGAUGCUUUAAUACAGAACCAGCAUAAAUAUUCUAUAAAGUACAACCCAGGAUAUGUAUUGGCCAGUCGCCUUGGAGUGAGUGGAUACCUUGUUUCAAGGUUUACAGGAAGUAUUUUUAUUGGAAGAGGAUCUAGGAGAAACCCUCAUGGAGACCAUAAAGCAAAUGUGGGUUUAAAUCUCAAAUUCAACAAAAAAAAUGAGGAGGUACCUGGAUAUACUAAGAAAGUUGGAAGUGAAUGGAUGUACUCAUCUGCAGCAGAACAACUUCUUGCAGAAUAUUUAGAGAGAGCUCCAGAACUGUUUAGUUAUAUAGCCAAAAAUAGCCAAGAGGAUGUGUUCUAUGAAGAUGACAUUUGGCCUGGAGAAAAUGAGAAUGGUGCUGAGAAAGUUCAAGAAAUUAUUACUUGGCUAAAAGGACAUCCUGUCAGUACUUUGUCUCGUUCAUCUUGUGAUUUACAAAUUCUGGAUGCAGCUAUUGUUGAGAAAAUUGAGGAAGAAGUUGAUAAAUGCAAGCAAAGAAAAAAUAACAAGAAAGUACGGGUGACAGUAAAGCCCCACUUGCUGUACAGACCUUUAGAACAACAACAUGGAGUCAUUCCUGAUCGAGAUGCAGAAUUUCGUCUCUUUGACCGUGUAGUGAACGUGAGAGAGAAUUUUUCAGUUCCAGUUGGCCUUCGGGGCACCAUCAUAGGAAUUAAAGGGGGUAAUAUCUCAACACUUGAUGUCUUCAGCUACCUUUAUAUUGUAAAGGAAAACACAAAGUUGUGUGUUUUAUAUGUCUAAUCAGAAAACAACUAUAAAUCAGGAAGAAACUAAAUCCUUUUAUGUAUUAGAUUUUUUUCCUUUCCUUUUUUCUUUUUAGUUUGUACUUUUCAGAGAAAAUUCUUCUUUUCUGUCUUGUGUAAUCAUCUUGUUAGUAGUUUAAAAAGUGAGAAGUUGAGAAGGGGCUAUAGAGAAUUUGGCAGUUUUUAUAUAGUACACUAAAAUUAUAUAAGAUCUUGGAGAGUAUACGUAUCUUUUCAUGAAACUGAGAAAGUAUUUUUUUAUCAGUUCUUCUUAAACUUUCCUAAUCUUGCCCAGAUCUUUACCUUUUCAUUAAAAUCUUUAGGUUUCUGUGAAUAAACAAAAGUGAAGUCACUUAUGGUUAAAAGACUUGAGAAAUGUGCAUAUGAAUUUGUAUUUUAUGAAUAUAACUAGAUUAUAUUAAACAGACCUUAUCAGCCUGUUGCACAGUAAUUACAUGAUGUUAUCAUUACUGUACUAAAUACAUUAAAAUGGUAAAUUUUAUGUGCCUUUGCGAUUUUUGGGUUUUGGUGCUAGGGAUUGAACCCAGGGUAUCAUGUAUGCUAAGCACAUGCUCUGCCAUUGAGCUAUAUCCCCAACUCCUAUGCGUUUUUUACCACAAUUUAAAAGGUCAAAACUGCAUACCUGUAAUCUCAGAUACUCAGGAUGCUGAGGCAGAAGGAUCAAAAGUUCAAGGCCAAGCUGAGCAACUUAACAAGACCUUAUCUCAAAUAAAAAUAAAAUAAAUAAAUAGGCCGGCAUGUAAAUCACUGUUCCCUCAAUUCAAUCCCUGGUAUCACAAAAAUGGAUGAUGAUGAGGAGGAGGACGACAGAGAACAAAGAAAAAAAAGAAAGCAUUCCAGAAUCUAAAUGUGCUUCAGAGAGAUGCCUAAAGUGAGUGACUUGACAAUGUAGAUUAAAGAAAAAAAGUCAACCCCAGCAUAAAGCAGCAAAUCAGGUGGCCACUGGUCAGCGUGCUUGGUAGCACUGUCUUUCCACAUCCCAGGCACUCAAUCUUUUGUUCUCACCAUCCCAAAAGGAAGAACAGGCAGACCAUAGAGCAUAUUUAGUGCCAACAAUGUGCCAGCCACUUACAUAUUUUGCAUUAAAUCUUUGUCACCCCUGAGAGGUGGGUGUAAUUUCCUUACCUGCCAGGUGAAGUAACUUACCCAUGUUUACAUAAGUAAGUAGCAAAACUGGAGUUUGAACUCUGUCCCCUUACUUUGAGGCAGGGGUUCUCCACAUUUUCCAUCUGCAGAUACUGUUCAGGUCUUCUCUAUUACUCUAACUCUAAAAGAGAAUUUUCUUUCCUGAUUCUUUUCUUAAUUUGUUGGUCAUAUUUUCAGUUGCAGGAAAUGGAAAGAGGAGGGUCAGGCUCUGGGCUAAGCAUUAUAAAGUUUAGAUGGAUUCAGUAAGACAAAUCCUCUGCUGCUGAUUGUUCAACUCCAUCUGCUAUUCAGAUUUUGAGUUUAUGGAUUGUAUUCCAGUUAGGUUGACCUGAGAAGGCCUUAGGGUGUAGAUAAUAGAAGUUUCCUUUCUUCUGACAACUCCUAUCAAUAGUAGAAGCCUCUUGGACAACCUUGUCUUGAGGAUUUUAAAGCUGUAUCUGUACUGAAUGGAAAAGAGCACUGUCAUUAAUUAAUCAUGUCUGCCAUGGGUCUAAAAUGGUGAGGGGAAUGUUUUUCAUUUUUUUCCUCAGCUGAGUGUAGUCUUCUCAGUAAUCUUCUCGGGAAAUACUCCUUCCCCAAAUAAAAAUGGGAACCUAGAAGGCACUUCUUAAGCCUUCAGAGGACAAAUUCCUGACUCUUAUUAAAUCUCACUUCAGUUUGGAUUUUUACAUAAAACUAUCACAUUGAAAGAUACAAACAGAUGAACUCUCCUAGCCUAGUUUCAUCUAAGUGAUGAAACACCAGGAUGGAGACAGCCCCUGACCCCCAUGAGAGGAUGAGAGACACAGGAAACUGGUGGGCAGAUUAUUGUAUUUGUGGUGGCUUCAUGCUUAAAUAUAUAUAGAAAAACUUAUUAAAUUGCAUACUUUUUUAGCAAAACAUUUAUUGGUACAUUUUAGAUAUACAUAAUGAUAACAUUUGUCGUAAGAAAUUUGUACCAGUGCAUGAUAUGUCUUGCUUCUUUUUUUUCCUCCAUCCCCCUUUCCCUUCGCCUCUUCCCCUCCUUAUAGACAAAAUCUUUGUCUCCAUCUUUUCCUUUGAUUUUUUUUCUUGCCCCCCCCCACCAUGUUUCCCUUCUCAUUUGAACAUUUUCUUCCCAUUUCCCUAUAUCUGUUGUACAUUUUACUCAUUUCCACUUUUGGUUUCUCACUCCAGAGAAACAAUGCAGUAUUUAAACAUAUGUGUUAGAUUUAUUUCACUUAAGAGUAUGGUCUCAAGGUCCAUCCAUUUAGCUGCAAUGUCUCAAGCUCCUUCUUUAUGUCAGAGUAGUACUCCGCUGUACAAAAAAAACCCCACAUAUUCUUUAUCCAUUCAUCAGUUGUUGGGCAUUUGGGCUGUUUCCAAGAUUUAGCUAUUACAAAUUGUGCCACUAUAAACAUGGGUGUGCAUAUAUCGCUGUAAAUUGCAUACUUUAAAUAUGUACAUUUUAUCAUGUCACUUUUACAUCAAUAAAUCUUUUUUUUUAAUUGUUGCUAGGUGUGGUGAUUCACACCUGUAAUCCCACCACUCAGGAGGCUGAGGCAGGAGGAUUGCUGCAAAUUUAGGGCCAGCCUGGGGUACAUCAUGAGUUCAAGGCCAGCUUGAACUAAAUAGUCAGGCCCUAACUCAAAAACAAAAACAAAUUUUAAGUACAUUCCAUAACACCCAACAAUUUCAUUUUGCUUCUAAACUAGGGAAGGGUUCAGUCAUGUAAAGGAUGUGUUUACACGAUGUUCACUGGUAGCUUUGUUUAUAAUUGCAAAAAAGUCAGAAACCUAAAUUUCCAUCAGCAGAAGAAUGGACAAAUUAUGGUAUAUCCAUAAAUGCAACAAUGUACGUUCAGAAAACUUUUUAAAAAUGAGGGCCGGGGAUUUAGCUCAGUGGUUCAGUCACCUGUCUCGCAAGCGCAAGGUCCCAAGUUCGAUCCCUGGAACUAAAAAAAAAUUAAAUAUACUUUGAAACAAAGUUAAGUUGCAAAAGAAUAUCUUUCCAGGCCGGGGAUUUAGCUCAGUAGUUCUGGUGUCUGCCUCACAACCAAAAGGUCCCGAGUUCAAUCCCUGGUACAAAAAAAAAAGAAUAUCUUCCCUGUAAUAUCAUGUUUAUAAUGUUUCAAAACUUACAAAACAGUUCAUGUUCACGUAUGAGAAGAGUAUGAAGAAAUGCAUAGGAAAUGUAUAGAAAUGUAUGCCAAUAGGAAUUGGACCACAGUGUUUUUUCUAAGGCCCAGUACACUGGUUCUUAGAUUACAUGAUGUUCAUUGUGUUAUGUCAUUCUUCAUAUCCAGAAUGUUUUAUGUGAAUUUUAAAAAUAAAAUAAAUACUACUGAGUCCUCCAAAACCUUGUCUGCUGAUUUUUCAUCGUAAGAUUUUUUUUCUUUCUUUUUUUUUAACAGCUAAUAGAGAAGCUGAUGUACUAUUUGAAGUAUUGUUUGAUGAAGAAUUUCCUGGAGGAUUAACAAUAAGGUUUGUAUUUCCAGAUUGCACUUUGUAAAUAUGCUCAUGUGACUUCUGAUUUUAAAUUAGUUAGUUCAUAAUAUAUGCAAUAUUGUCAUACUUUCUACUAUGGAUAUAACAGUGAAUAAAAUAGACAUGCUUUUUGUU